GACGAACGCUGGCGGCGUGCCUAAUACAUGCAAGUAGAACGCUGAAGAGAGGAGCCUGCUCUUCUUGGAUGAGUUGCGAACGGGUGAGUAACGCGUAGGUAACCUGCCUUGUAGCGGGGGAUAACUAUUGGAAACGAUAGCUAAUACCGCAUAACAAUGGAUGACUCAUGUCAUUUAUUUGAAAGGGGCAAAUGCUCCACUACAAGAUGGACCUGCGUUGUAUUAGCUAGUAGGUGAGGUAACGGCUCACCUAGGCGACGAUACAUAGCCGACCUGAGAGGGUGAUCGGCCACACUGGGACUGAGACACGGCCCAGACUCCUACGGGAGGCAGCAGUAGGGAAUCUUCGGCAAUGGGGGCAACCCUGACCGAGCAACGCCGCGUGAGUGAAGAAGGUUUUCGGAUCGUAAAGCUCUGUUGUAAGUCAAGAACGAGUGUGAGAGUGGAAAGUUCACACUGUGACGGUAGCUUACCAGAAAGGGACGGCUAACUACGUGCCAGCAGCCGCGGUAAUACGUAGGUCCCGAGCGUUGUCCGGAUUUAUUGGGCGUAAAGCGAGCGCAGGCGGUUUGAUAAGUCUGAAGUUAAAGGCUGUGGCUCAACCAUAGUUCGCUUUGGAAACUGUCAAACUUGAGUGCAGAAGGGGAGAGUGGAAUUCCAUGUGUAGCGGUGAAAUGCGUAGAUAUAUGGAGGAACACCGGUGGCGAAAGCGGCUCUCUGGUCUGUAACUGACGCUGAGGCUCGAAAGCGUGGGGAGCGAACAGG
rnacentral:rRNA from 1 species